UACGUAGGGUCCAAGCGUUAUCCGGAAUCACUGGGCGUAAAGCGUGCGUAGGUGGCGCGUUAAGUGAGAUGUUAAAUCGUGUGGCUCAACCAUAUCGUUGCAUCUCAUACUGGCGUGCUAGAGGACAGCAGAGGCAAGUGGAACUCGUAGUGUAGCAGUGAAAUGCGUAGAUAUUACGAAGAACACCAAUGGCGAAGGCAGCUUGCUGGGCUACUCCUGACACUGAGGUACGAAAGCGUGGGGAGCGAACAGG
rnacentral:rRNA from 1 species